rnacentral:snoRNA from 1 species
GCCUCUGAGGAUGAUGAAAAGUAUAACUUUCGUUCUACUGACUUUUCUAUGAGGAAAAUGUAUGGAGACCUGAACUGAAGAGGC